rnacentral:rRNA from 1 species
CCUACGGGAGGCAGCAGUGGGGAAUAUUGGACAAUGGGCGAAAGCCUGAUCCAGCAAUGCCGCGUGAGUGAUGAAGGCCUUAGGGUUGUAAAGCUCUUUUACCAGGGAUGAUAAUGACAGUACCUGGAGAAUAAGCUCCGGCUAACUCCGUGCCAGCAGCCGCGGUAAUACGGAGGGAGCUAGCGUUGUUCGGAAUUACUGGGCGUAAAGCGUACGUAGGCGGUUAUUCAAGUCAGAGGUGAAAGCCUGGAGCUCAACUCCAGAACUGCCUUUGAAACUAGAUAGCUAGAAUCACGGAGAGGUUAGUGGAAUUCCGAGUGUAGAGGUGAAAUUCGUAGAUAUUCGGAAGAACACCAGUGGCGAAGGCGACUAACUGGACGUGUAUUGACGCUGAGGUACGAAAGCGUGGGGAGCAAACAGGAUUAGAUACCCUGGUAGUCCACGCCGUAAACGAUGAUAACUAGCUGUUCGGUCUCUACGAGACUGAGUGGCGCAGCUAACGCAUUAAGUUAUCCGCCUGGGGAGUACGGUCGCAAGAUUAAAACUCAAAGGAAUUGACGG